GUGCUUACUUCAGCAGCACAUAUGCUAAAAUUGGAAUAAUAAAGAGAUUAGUAUGGUUCAUGUUCAAGGUUGACAUGCAAAUUCAUGAAGCAAUCUUUAAUGUA
ensembl:snRNA U6 U6 spliceosomal RNA